UACGAGGGGGGGCAAGCGUUGUUCGGAAUUACUGGGCGUAAAGGGCGCGUAGGCGGGUCGUCAAGUUGGGGGUGAAAGCCCAGGGCUCAACCCUGGAACUGCCUUCAAAACUGGCGACCUAGAGUAUGGUAGAGGUGUGUGGAACUCCGAGUGUAGAGGUGAAAUUCGUAGAUAUUCGGAAGAACACCAGUGGCGAAGGCGACACACUGGGCCAUUACUGACGCUGAGGCGCGAAAGCGUGGGGAGCAAAACAGG
rnacentral:rRNA from 1 species